AGAGUUUGAUCCUGGCUCAGAUUGAACGCUAGCGGCAUGCUUAACACAUGCAAGUCGAACGGUAACAGGUCUAGCUUGCUAGAUGCUGACGAGUGGCGGACGGGUGAGUAACGCGUAGGAAUCUACCUUAUAGUGGGGGAUAACCUGGGGAAACCCAGGCUAAUACCGCAUAAGCCCUAAGGGGGAAAGCGUGGGACCGC
rnacentral:rRNA from 1 species